AUGAAUAGAAUACGUUUUAAAAUUAAAGUGUUUCAAUCACUUUGAUUCGAAUUGGUAUUGAAAGUAUUGCCAUUUUACUACGAACACUGUUUUUUGAUGUAUUUUAUCACGACAAACAGUCAAUUAUUCCAAGUAAAUUAGUAAAUUUGUUUACUAACUGACUGGAGUACUUUCGAACGGCAAGCGUUCAUUUUCCAAGUGUUGAAAAUGUGGACUGUUGAAAAUGAACGCUUCCUGUUCGAAAGUACUCUGAAAGUAAACAAAUUCUCUUAUCUACUUGAGAUAAUUGACUGAAUGUUGUGUGAAAUACAUAAAAAAUAGUGUUAAUGCAUUGCAGCUCGGAUUGGAUCAAGAAACCAUCAUCUUCAAUAUUUCACUAUAAGUUACAAGAGGCACAAAAAUGCAUCAGAGGGACUUGGAACAGAAAUAUUGGAGAAUUGCAGGGGAUAUGUUGCUGGCUACCGCUGGCCUUGAUUGGGCACGCAGUGAGGAUGGCAAGACCAACUCAGCCAAGCUGGGCCAGCGACUGGGCCAAGUGUGGACUAGACAUUUGUUGCCAACCGUUUAAUAGUUGAGGCCUUACUGAGUGUGGCAGGCAGUUGAACAUCUUUACUAGGAGCAUCGGGCAGCAAUAGGCCUACUCUCGUCAGUUUUCAGCUGGGAUUACAGUGUUCCUAUUUCCACUUCUCAGUUCUCGUUCAUCUGAGCCCAGCUGCUGAAAGCUUAGACCAUUUAUAGAAUAGACACGGCCCAUUGUAUAUUCAUAGUUCAUACUGAAAGUCGAUGUAGCCAACAUCUACUGCCAAAUCCACCCAUCUUGACGUCACAGCAGUGACGUCACAGAUCGUAUAGAAAUAAUUAUUAUAGAAAACUUUUUUGAGUUUGUUGUGUAAGUGUUUGUGGUGUUUAACUUACAUUAUUGUUAAACAAUGCAUUGUUGUUGAACAUAGCUUGUUUUCCAUA